UACGUAGGCAGCGAGCGUUGUUCGGAAUUACUGGGCGUAAAGAGUGUGUAGGCGGUGCUCUAAGUUCGGUGUGAAAUCUCCUGGCUCAACUGGGAGGGUGCGCCGGAAACUGGAGUGCUUGAGCGUAGGAGAGGAAAGCGGAAUUCCUGGUGUAGCGGUGAAAUGCGUAGAUAUCAGGAGGAACACCUGUGGUGUAGACGGCUUUCUGGACCAUAGCUGACGCUGAGACACGAAAGCGUGGGUAGCAAACGGG
rnacentral:rRNA from 1 species